ACCAAAAAAAAAAAAAAACAAAACAAAAAAACAGAUCCCGCACGUCAUUGUUUUCUUGAGAAAAAGAAAGAAUGUUUGAGUGUUUGUCCGUAUGACAUAUUACAGAACUCAAUAUCUGAGUGUAGCUACCUUCUAACAAAACCGUAAUUCCUUGAUAAACAACUUCUGAGAUUGUUUCUUCUUGUCUUUGUGAUUUCCCAUCUGUAAAGUGGGAAUAAAGCAAUGCCUACCUCACAGGGGUGUUGUGAGGAUUUGUAGUAAGAUUGUGUUAACUUUUGUCAGUAUUAUUUAUAAAAACCAACAAUAUAAGAAAAACUAUUCUGUAGCUAAACUUAUUUCCUUCAGAAUUCCAAUCUGUAAAUUCCAAACUUGUACUACUUAAUAUUCAAUAAUUGACAAAACCGUUUUUUACAAAUGCUCUAGACAUAAUAUCUUCCCUUAGAGUGUAAUUAUCACCUUUCUUCUUCAGCGUUCAAGCGAGAAGGCUACUGAAAUAAAACUUUGCCAAUUUCAGCUUUAUUGAAAGUUCCCUUAAACCUGCUGUUUUCAUGUGAGAAAGGAACAGCCAACGAAGAUACAGCAUUUUCAUUUCUUCGAUGAAGAUGAUCUGAAUAGUGCACAGGGUUAGGAAGUUGAAUAAGGAUAUUACCUGCAGUGUCUGCCCGUUGUUGUCCUAGUGCUGAGGUGCGUCGUCGCUGUGCGGGCACCGUUUCGGGGGUGUCACACGAAGCAGCGUCGGUGGACCUCGUUUCACCAAGCACAGCCGGUGGUAUGGGAAAUCGGCGCCCUCACCGAGCGCUUUCCAGCUGCCAUCUCUGCAGAGGCCGGUGCUGUAGCCCUUUCCUUGAAGUUGCUCCCUUUGCUCCUCUUUCUGUUCCGUUUACACCCUGCUACAUCUCCUGCCCCCUCCCCAACAUAAUCCGCAGCUCUGGGUCUCAGCCAGGGUGUGUUAGUCAGGGUUCUCCAGAGCAGCGGAACCGAGAGGCAGUAGGCACACAGGUAAUGUUCUGACAGAUUGCCUCAUGCAACUACGGCAGCGCAGAAGCUCCUGGAUUUGUACCUGGUGAGCUGAGAGCCAGGAGAGCCCGUGAUUUCAUUCCCAUGUGAGUCCACAGGCCCGAGAACCAGGAGAGCUAAAGGCGUAGUUUCUAGCCUCAAAGCGGGCAGGCCUGAGACCCGAGAAGAGCCAGCGUGAAAUUUCUGCGUCUGUCAAAGGAAAGGGUCAGCAUCCAAGACCACGCAGUCAGGCCGAGGUCACCUCUGUCCUGUCCAGGCUUUCAGUGGAUUGAGGGCCAUCGGCUUUGCGGAGUGUGUGGUCUCAAACAGUAAUCUUACCCAGAAACGCUCCCCUGCACCCAGUGUGUCUGACGAAAUAACUGCCCCGUCCCCCGGCCAGCUGUCUCGCAGGGCUGCCCCUGUCCUGGAGACUUCGGCAGUUGGAGCGGCUUUGCUUGUCACAGGUGGGUGGAGGCCAGAGGAAGGCUGCUGCUGGCAUCUAGUGGACAGAGGCCGCGUGUGCUGCUGACCAGCUGAACCAUGCAGAGGACCGCCCAUUGAGGAACUACCCGGCCUGCAUGCCGGGAGAGCUGAGGUAGACCGGUGCUGGUCUGAAAGCUUCGAGUUUCGGGUGAUUGUCGGGAAUUAACAAAAAAUGUGGCAUUUCUAUCCCAGUAAUGUUUGGAAUUUAUAUUGUUCUAUUGGUGUAUGUGUAUGUUCUGAAGUAAAUUGUAUUAUCCUUUAUCUCAGCUUUUAAACGGUUUUAAAUGUGAUUAUUUAAAAUCUGAAAUGUAUUAUUUAGACAGUUAUAAAUCUAUUCACAUAAUGUUUGAACUAAAUAAAUGUAACUCUAAAGUCUCUUGGUGAAAUUGUGAA